ensembl:snRNA U6 U6 spliceosomal RNA
GUGCUCACUUCAGCAGCACAUAUAUUAAAAUUAGAAUGAUACAGAGAUAAGCAUGGCCCCUGAGCACAAACCUCUCUGUGCGAGAGGCAUUAUCUUAAA